CUGCUGCCUUCCGUAGGAGUCUGGUCCGUGUCUCAGUACCAGUGUGGGGGACCUUCCUCUCAGAACCCCUACGCAUCGUCGGUUAGGUGGGCCGUUACCCCGCCUACUGCCUAAUGCGCCGCAUGCCCAUCCCUGUCCGGCCGAAGCCUUUCCUGCCUCCGGGAUGCCCCGGUGGCAUGUACGCGGGUUUAGCCCGCCUUUCGCCGGGUUAUCCCCCUGCGAGGGCAGGUUGCAUACGUGUUACUCACCCGUGCGCCGGUCGCCGGCGAGAA
rnacentral:rRNA from 1 species